GACAGAGGUGCCAAGCGUUAGGCGGAAUCACUGGGCUUAAAGCGUGUGUAGGCGGAUCGUUAAGUGCCUUGUGAAAUCCCAUGGCUUAACCAUGGAACUGCUCGGCAUACUGGCGGUCUUGAGCCAUCUAGGGGCUACCGGAACAAAUGGUGGAGCGGUGAAAUGCGUAGAUAUCAUUUGGAACGCCAAUGGUGAAAACAGGUAGCUGGGGAUGUGCUGACGCUGAGACGCGAAAGCGUGGGAGCAAACAGG
rnacentral:rRNA from 1 species